rnacentral:rRNA from 1 species
UGGGGAAUAUUGCACAAUGGGCGCAAGCCUGAUGCAGCCAUGCCGCGUGUAUGAAGAAGGCCUUCGGGUUGUAAAGUACUUUCAGCGGGGAGGAAGGGAGUAAAGUUAAUACCUUUGCUCAUUGACGUUACCCGCAGAAGAAGCACCGGCUAACUCCGUGCCAGCAGCCGCGGUAAUACGGAGGGUGCAAGCGUUAAUCGGAAUUACUGGGCGUAAAGCGCACGCAGGCGGUCUGUCAAGUCGGAUGUGAAAUCCCCGGGCUCAACCUGGGAACUGCAUUCGAAACUGGCAGACUAGAGUCUUGUAGAGGGGGGUAGAAUUCCAGGUGUAGCGGUGAAAUGCGUAGAGAUCUGGAGGAAUACCAGUGGCGAAGGCGGCCCCCUGGACAAAGACUGACGCUCAGGUGCGAAAGCGUGGGGAGCAAACAGG